CCCCCCAUAACUCAAUUGGUAGAGUACCUGCCUCUUAAGCAGUGAGUUCCAGGUUCGAGUCCUGGUGGGGGGA
rnacentral:tRNA from 1 species